rnacentral:rRNA from 1 species
UACAGAGGGUGCAAGCGUUAAUCGGAAUUACUGGGCGUAAAGCGUGCGCAGACGGUUGCGUAAGUCAGAUGUGAAAUCCCCGGGCUUAACCUGGGAAUGGCAUUUGGGACUGCAAGGCUGGAGUGCGGCAGAGGAGACUGGAAUUCCUGGUGUAGCAGUGAAAUGCGUAGAUAUCAGGAGGAAUACCGAUGGCGAAGGCAGCCCCCCUGGGCUAACACUGACGCUCAGGCACGAAAGCGUGGGGAGCAAACAGG